AGUAAAAGUCGUAACAAGGUCUCCGUAGGUGAACCUGCGGAGGGAUCAUUAUAUGACGCCCCAGGCUUGUACAGCUGGGAACGCACAACCCUUUGUUUUCCGACUCUGUUGCCUCCGGGGCGACCCUGCCUUCGGGCGGGGGCUCCGGGUGGACACUUCAAACUCUUGCGUAACUUUGCAGUCUGAGUAAACUUAAUUAAUAAAUUAAAACUUUUAACAACGGAUCUCUUGGUUCUGGCAUCGAUGAAGAACGCAGCGAAAUGCGAUAAGUAAUGUGAAUUGCAGAAUUCAGUGAAUCAUCGAAUCUUUGAACGCACAUUGCGCCCCCUGGUAUUCCGGGGGGCAUGCCUGUUCGAGCGUCAUUUCACCACUCAAGCCUCGCUUGGUAUUGGGCAACGCGGUCCGCCGCGUGCCUCAAAUCGUCCGGCUGGGUCUUCUGUCCCCUAAGCGUUGUGGAAACUAUUCGCUAAAGGGUGUUCGGGAGGCUACGCCGUAAAACAACCCCAUUUCUAAGGUUGACCUCGGAUCAGGUAGGGAUACCCGCUGAACUUAAGCAUAUCAAUAAGCGGAGGAAAAGAAACCAACAGGGAUUGCCCCAGUAACG
rnacentral:rRNA from 1 species